UCUCUCGCCGUGAGUGAGUUUAGUUGUGCGAGAUUUAUUAAAUUAGGUACUCAUAUUUUAAUACGAAUUGAACGAUUGAAAGAUAAAAAUAAGCAAGUUCAAAAUGUUUUGUUCAACACUAUGCGAUUGCUAAUGACCUGUUCAAAGUUCUUCAUGUUUUCGAAAACUGUAUGAUGUUGCUGUUAUGUUAUGUUAUAAACAGUCGCAUCUAUAGCUGCACAUAACCAAAUAAAAAGUAAUCCCAGGGUGUUAGAUCAGGUGAUUUUGGCGGCCAACGGUUUCUUCCAACAAUUCGGUCAUCAAAAUACUAAUACCGGUCGAUAUGGACAACAUAAUAGUUAUUUAGUAUUGUUUAACAAACAUUUUUGCACUAUACGUUUUACGUACUACGAUACUAAUUAAUAUUUCAAGUACGAAUUCCAAGGGAGAGAUUUGGUCAGUAUUGUUUCGUGCUUUCUAAGUGUUGUGACGUGCACUUGUUAAAUUGGAGUAACUCGAAUUACCCCAGUGAUGGUCCAGGCCGAGAGCAGCCAUGGAGGCCAGGUACCGUUAGAGACCCAGACGAUCCUGACAAUUUGGGGUUCCGUAUGACAAACAAGUUUGUUGGAAUAGCUGUCACACUGGCGUUUGCGGGCUUUGUUCAACGCGAACACGCACAUCUACUACCGCCUCGUUGUGGGGCGACCAGCGCAUUUUCCACAAACAACACUUCCUGUAUCGUCAAAUCGCUUAACUACACGAAGAAUGUGACUGC